GCCUAGUUAGCCUAGUUGGUAGUACGUCUGCCUUGUAAGCGCUAGGCCGCGGGUUCGAUUCCCGCCCGGGGCG
rnacentral:tRNA from 1 species